CCUACGGGGGGCAGCAGUCGAGAAUCAUUCACAAUGGGGGAAACCCUGAUGGUGCGACGCCGCGUGGGGGAAUGAAGGUCUUCGGAUUGUAAACCCCUGUCAUGUGGGAGCAAAUUAAAAAGAUCGUACCACAAGAGGAAGAGACGGCUAACUCUGUGCCAGCAGCCGCGGUAAUACAGAGGUCUCAAGCGCUGUUCGGAAUCACUGGGCGUAACGCGUGCGUAGGCUGUUUCGUAAGUCGUGUGUGAAAGGCGCGGGCUCAACCCGCGGACGGCACAUGAUACUGCGAGACUAGAUGAAUGGCGGGGGAACCGGAAUUCUCGGUGUAGCAGUGAAAUGCGUCGAUAUCGAGAGGAACACUCGUGGCGAAGGCGGGUUCCUGGACAUUACCUGACGCUGAGGCACGAAGGCCAGGGGAGCGAAAGGGAUUAGAUACCCUUGUAGUC
rnacentral:rRNA from 1 species